AUUGAACGCUGGCGGCAUGCCUUACACAUGCAAGUCGAACGGCAGCAUGGAGAGCUUGCUCUCUGAUGGCGAGUGGCGAACGGGUGAGUAAAGCAUCGGAACGUACCGUGUAGUGGGGGAUAACGUAGCGAAAGUUACGCUAAUACCGCAUACGCACUGAGGUGGAAAGCAGGGGAUCGUAAGACCUUGCGCUAUACGAGCGGCCGAUGUCAGAUUAGCUAGUUGGUAGGGUAAAGGCCUACCAAGGCGACGAUCUGUAGCGGGUCUGAGAGGAUGGUGAGCCACACUGGGAGUGGGACACGGCCCAGACUCCUACGGGAGGCAGCAGUGGGGAAUUUUGGGCAAUGGGGGCAACCCUGAUCCAGCCAUGCCGCGUGAGUGAAGAAGGCCUUCGGGUUGUAAAGCUCUUUCGGCCGGGAAGAAAUCGCACAGGCUAAUACCCUGUGUGGAUGACGGUACCGGCAUAAGAAGCACCGGCUAACUACGUGCCAGCAGCCGCCGUAA
rnacentral:rRNA from 1 species